UGCCCCAUGGCUGAGUUGGUUACAGCGUCCGACUGUUAUUCAUGUAGCAAUCGGAAGGUCGUGAGUUCGAGCCUCACUGGGGCAG
rnacentral:tRNA from 1 species